AUAUAUAUUUAUAACAUAAUAUUCAAACAUUAUAUGGUUUACACAAAUCUCGUUAGUCAAUACUACAUGUAUGCGCGAGUACAAAACAACAGAAGCUAAGGGUAAGUGACGUAAUCGGCGAAGGGAUUUGUGUCCAGUUUAAAGGUCACUCAAGAAAUGAUAUGAACUGUACACUGAAAAUGCAUCGAUUUAUUACUGACGAAACAAUUGCAGAUGUAAAUAUUUAUACAUGAUUGAAUAACAGCGAUUUUUGAUCUGUCAAACGUUCAAACAUUACCUCAUAAAAAUGAACAUUGUUUAUUUCUAAAAUCAUUAUAAUUUCAGGAAAUGUAUACAUGAAAUCGUAUCAUAUCUGACCUUAUUCAUAUACCAGGUUAUCAAAAUGUCGUUAACGUCUAAUCAACUAUGAUUGGAUAAUCUUUUAUAAUUCAAUUUGUAUUGUAUGAUAAAUGGACAAUGUGCAAUUCGAUAUUUGAAUGAUCUAAUCUUAUUUCCGCCGUUCUUUUUUUUCUAUUUGAGUCGAAAUCAUAUACACCAAAGAGAGAUACCCAUGAUAUCUAUAGUACAAUACUUUCCAGAGCAUCCAAAAAUGCUGUCUAGUGAUUUUCGUUAAUCAACUUGGAUCUCUGUAGGAGCCCAUACAGACGAAGGCAUUGUGACGUAAGCAGAUCCACUUGUAGAUUUGGGCAACAUGUUGUUUUACGUCGCACAUUUUCAAAUUCGUUCUUUGUGAAGAUUCGUGGGAAAGUAGAAGACGAUGUGAUAGUGAGAAGGAGUAAAGAUGUUCGCCAUUGUUUGGUAGACAAUGCAGACCCCGAGCCCGACCUUCAUCCAUCUGCUAAUGCUGAAAGAAAACAGUCCGGCAGCUCGGCGGCGCGGUAAUCUUUUUCAUCGAUUGUUUAAAUGUUCACAAGAAGGCAAAGAAAUGGAACUUGGACACUUUUUAUGUAUUAAUAGUUAUCAGAUGAGAAUAGAGUGUUAUCUCCCUUUAUCUGUUUAUCCAAGCAACACGCGACACGCCCCAUACUACACGUGGAUAGAAGCUAGAAGCGAUUUAGUAAAAGUAAUACAGUAAGUUUAGAUACAGUUGCAUUUGAAGAAGACUGGGUGGUUGACACCACUUUACAAUUUAUAAAGUGUAUGGGUGAUUAUUUUCGUACAAUUGGUAAUAAUUGUAAAUGAUAAUGGGGUUGGGUUUUUUUUUUUUUAUCCCCGUAGGAACACUAUAUAUACUAAUACUUUAUUUCAAAUAGAACAUGUCCAGUACUGUUUCACAUAAUUCAUCCAUAUCUAAUUUUAAUAAUCAUUUGGAGUACUCAGUAUUUGGCAGCAAUAGUGACACAAGUUAAAAUGCAACUUUAUAUUUUAAUAUUGGAGCCAUUUAUCGUGACAACGUCCACAGUGCCAUGGGUUGGUUGUAUAUUGUUUUACGUUCCGCUUGAGAAUUUUUCACUCAUAUGGAGACACCACAAUAGCCGGUGAAAGGCUGAAAAUUUUGGUCUAUGUUCGGCGCUUACUGCCUUUAAGCAGGGGGGGAUUUUUAUCAUGCCACACCUGCUGCUUGGUUUUUGCGGUCUCAUCCGAAGGACCGCCUCAUUUAGUCGCCUCUUACAACAAGCAAGGGGGUACUGAGGACCUAUUCUAACCCGGAUCUCCACGGGAUUCAGUGACUUCACAACCAGUCGCUACUUUUCCACGCCUGUCGCCGUCGAGCAGUAAUUUUGAACGAUUCAAACUCAAAGAUCAAAUCAUGCCUUUGUGUAAAAUGUUGUUAAAACUUAGAUAAGAAGUAUGACCCACAAAGGAAAUUAUUGUUUGAAAGGUCAAUGUCAGACCUUUGAUUGAAUAAAUUGUUCAAGCCCUAUACUUUUUCAUUGGUCCAUACUUCCUUAAAUCACCAUCACAUGGUAAAUCUUAAUGUAAGGCCAAGGUCAAAUUGGACAUAAUGAAUGGAACAAUUUUGUUUCAUACUUCAUGAUUAUGUGUGGAUCUUUGGUAGGAUAUGUGCAAAGACUUCAAUGGAGAUGAUAGGUGGAAGAACAAAGUCGAAUCCUUUGUGUCAAAGUUUUGUCCAAGACAUGUUUUCUUACCCCGCGGUGUUCUAGAGGUAGAGCGUUAGACCCGCAUGCGGAGGGUCGGGGUUUAAAUCCCGGCUGCGAGACUUAAGUCGUUAAAACAGGUAGUGACAGUUCCAUCGCCAAACGCUCGGCAUUAGGCGUGAAUGUCACGGGUUCUCGGAGAUAACCUUAAAAACGGAUGCCCCGUGUCACAGUAGGUGUGGCAUGAUAAAGAUCCCUCCCUGCUUAAAGGCCGUAAGCGCCGAGCAUAGGCUAAAUUUUGCAGCCCUUCACCGGCGAUGGUGACGUCUCCAUAUGAGUGAAAAAUUCUCGAGCGAGACGUUAAACAAGAUACAAUCAAUCAAUCAACUUACCCGGCAGUCCAAUUUUUACAUCAUUGCCUAUGGAGACCCGAUGACCUUGACGAAUGACGUCUCACCUUUACAUUAAAGGAGGUAAUUCGAGAAAAUCCACAUCAUUGAAAUCAAACAAGAAGUCACUAGAGAGGUCCCCGUAUUGGUCGUAUUGCUGCAAAAGAGGCAUGACGUCAUAGGUUAAAAGUUCACUCGAUGUUUCCUGAGCAGUCCAACAUCAAAAAAAAAAAAAAAAAAAAAGAGGACCAGUCUACAUUUUACCUGUGACCGUUUUUAAGGACGAAGCAAAAAGUAUUGGUAUUGGAGUCUACAUCCAUAACAAGACAAAAAUAUCCCAAAGUCAGCACCUAACGUGUCUAUAUUCUAGAGAAAAGAAAAAAGUGAAAAUCUUGGGAGAUUUAUAUUCCGAUUUCAUUUGCUACCCUAUCAGGAGAGAGUGUGCCACACCUCAUUUAACCUACCACUAGUAUUGAUACUUCUGCUGGGAACCCGCUCCUUCUAAAUUACCUAUAUGGUUGUAUCAAAUUUGUACACAUGACGAGUUUUAAAAUGUCAAACGGAUGUUGGUUGGAAUUCGUGUAGAUUCAAAUUGGGAUUUUUACACCAAAUGUCAUCAAGUUUUGCGAGCUCCUGUCGAAUACUAACUUUACAACAUUAAAAAGAAUCUAUGUAUGUUUAUUCUAAAAAAAAAUAUAUAUAUAUGAUAUAGUCGAAUAGUCUGUCUUCCAUGUCUCUCUCCAUUAUAACAUACUUUGUAUAUAUUGUAUAUUUAAGCCUACAUGUUAUCUUUUAUAUACCUCUGACAAGUGUAUAGUUGUCAUGAUGUGCAUGUUUUUCAUGUACCAUUAUAUGGUUUGAGUGAAUAAACUGAACUUGAUCAUACACGUGUUAUUAAGGUAAAAUGACGAACAACCCUUCCUAUGCAUAGUAAUCUAACCUUUGUAGCAUCUAUUAAGCCUUUUCAUGCCAUUAAGUUGGUUAGUUUGUAAUUACGCCAAACAAUCGCACGUGGUCUUGGGUAUAUUACCCGGUGUGAAUGUAUAAGUCAAGAAUUUCAGGAACGUGUGAAAAGGGAGUUUUAAUUAUUUGUUUUCAACAGGGAAAUUGGCGUUGGUAAAGUUUUUUUUUCUUUUUUGCGAGGUUAAAAUUCCUAUGGAGACCCGUGCACCUGUAUGUAAUCGGAUAGUAGUGUCCCCCGCUCGCCAAUGACUGAAGCGGUCCCGCGUGCGGUCACGUGGUUUUGAAGACCCGCUGACGAAGCAGCAUCUCGAUGGGAUUGUGAAACAAGUCAUAUCUUAAGAAACUCUAAACCACCGGACAAUUUUAUAUCCUCAUAAGCAAAUUUAAUUUAAAGGACGUUUUCAGAAAGGAUGGCCACUUCAAUUCCAACAAUUUUAGGUUAGGUUUUCAUGAAUUAUUUCCAUAAUUUGCCAGUCGCCUCACUGGAAAUACAACAUAAAUCAUUCAUCAUGGUUAAUAGACAAGUAUAUUUAUUCAAGACUGAGCAUUAAACAGUCUCAAAUAGUAAACUUUGCACAUUCAAACUGGACAUGACACUAACAAUCUUUUCUUAAUUUUUUUGAUACUUUUUAAUAAUAUUGUACGCAGCAUGCAAUGCUUACGACAUGACGUAACAAGGGUCUUGACCGGGCGGAAUGUUCAGAACUUGGCGCGGUAACUGCCUCAUGACGAAUUACUAUUUUGAGAAAUACUCCAUCAACACGUUGUAAUUAUAAUCAUUUACGAUUUCACCUGUAUCGAUUUCAAUUCAAUUAAACAUUCAUUUU